rnacentral:rRNA from 1 species
AUAGCCAUAAACAUAAGUAAGUUUAAAACAAGCCUACUCGCCAGAGAACUACUAGCAACCGCUUAAAACUCAAAGGACUUGGCGGUGCUUUAUAUCCAUCUAGAGGAGCCUGUUCUAUAAUCGAUAAACCCCGAUUAACCUCACCACUCCUUGCCAACUCAGCUUAUAUACCGCCAUCUUCAGCUAACCCUAAAAAGGAACACAAGUAGGCCCAAGCAGCACUAUGCUAAAAAAGUUAGGUCAAGGUGUAGCUUAUGGAGUGGGAAGCAAUGGGCUACAUUUUCUAAUAAUAGAACAUCACGAAACCCUAUGUGAAACUCAUAGGAUAAAGGAGGAUUUAGCAGUAAAUUAAAACUAGAGUGUUUAAUUGAACAGAGCAAUGAAGCA